UACAGAGACUGCAAGCGUUAAUCGGAAUUACUGGGCGUAAAGCGUGCGCAGGCGGUUAUGCAAGCCAGAUGUGAAAUCCCCGGGCUCAACCUGGGAACUGCAUUUGUGACUGCAUGGCUAGAGUACGGUAGAGGGGGAUGGAAUUCCGCGUGUAGCAGUGAAAUGCGUAGAUAUGCGGAGGAACACCGAUGGCGAAGGCAAUCCCCUGGACCUGUACUGACGCUCAUGCACGAAAGCGUGGGGAGCAAACAGG
rnacentral:rRNA from 1 species